GCCAAUCAGGAGUCUUCUCUUCCAUCUGUGUUUGACGGGAAUGCUGUGGAAGCCUGUGAUUGGCUAGGCUUCCUUAGCUGGAAUCUCUUUAAAAGAAAAUCAGGAUAACGUUGUUCGUGUGUUCCUGUGUGGUCGUUCAGUGCAGUGCUGAAUUCUCGUUAUUUCUUGUGGAGAUUAUUCAAGGAAACUUAUGUAACAUGAAAGUAACAAAUGAAACUCACAACAUACUUAGUUUCAACAUAGUUUAUGGACGUUUUAGGAAUUGUAAUGGAAUGAUAACCCGACGACUAUAUGAAGAGGCCAACGGACUUUUGAAGAUUUGAUUAGUGCUUGGACUAUUGGAAUAUGCUGUGAUGUCAACAGUUUACAAAAUUUGGAGCUUUUGAAGAAUAGCGAUCCCAUACAACCCUUUUGAAGAAUAGGGGUCCCAGUUUGGGCCUUUUGAAGAAUACAGAUCCACGGACACGGCGGUCGGAGCUCCCGUAGUUCCGCCAUGGCCUUACUGUAACCCCAGUGGCUAGCGCGCGCAGCACAACAUACCUCUUGCCAGAACAUGCCAAGAAUCUUUAAAUAUGCGGAUAAGGCGCAAAGCGCCGUUCCGCCACGGCCUUACUGGCAGCACACACAAAUCGAUCGUCCGCGGAUAUGUAGUCGCUCCCCUAUGAAUAUAACAUUGGUACUGACAAUCAAACAAGCAGUUGUUUGCUUAUCUUUAGGUUUGUUCACCACUGACAACCAAUCAUGUUGUUACUUGUUUUCCUCGGCGGUUGUUCUCCACUAAAUACCUUUUUAACAAUACGGACCCCAGUUUCAUCCUUUUGAAGAAUAAAGGUCCCAGGUUCGUAUGGGACCGCUAUUCUUCAAAAGCUCCCAAAAUUUUUAGUAGGAAAGUGUCUAAACUUUGAAUGGAAAAUUCGCUAAUCGCACUUGUUUCGAUGUAAUACAGUAGUAAGGCCUAAAAUGUAAAUUUUAAUUGUAACAUACGAUUAGGUUGUUAAUGAGCUGCAAUUCUAUGCAGGUGUGAAAGUAAUCUCCAGUCUCGAGUUUGACACUAAGAUGCCAGUUCGUCACGUGGCAGUACGUCAUCACAUUACUGUAGUGCGUCUCGUGGCAGUACGUAGUCUCGUGGCAGUACGUCAAAUAUAGUCGGCCACAUGAUCAGUUACAUGCCCAAUUAAAUCUUCGUCAGCCCUACACACACAAGCCUUGUAAGUUGUCACCAAUUCCAAGCGGUAGAAAAUCUAAGCCCAAAAACAAUGGCCAGAAUUCCCCAAGUUCCUGGAAUAGUCAUUAAACCACUUCAGUAUUGCUGCAUUCAGAACCAAGCCGUCACAUCGAGUACACUAUACCUAAGAGUAAAUGUUCUCAUUUAGUCUUACACCUUAAAAAAUUCUUUAACGUAUAUUUGGUCUAAAACUCUGCAUUCGGUUAAACCCUGAGAAAUAUUUCCAAUUAGUCUUACACCUAACAAAAAUUCUUUAUUGUAUAUUUGGUCAAAAACUUACCAUUCAGGAAAAACCAACGAAAUAGAUUCAGUAAUUUUAAAACCUUCAAUUUUUUUUUUCUUACACUACAAACAAUAACUCUAAACACUAGGUCUAAAACUUAACGUUCAGAAAGAAUGAUUGACAUUCAGUAACUAUUAAAACUCUCAAUUAAACAUCCACUUUACAUAAUUAGGCAAAUUCUAAAGUGAUUUGGUCAAAUUUAGCGGUCAGUACAAGAAACUGCAAUGUCACUUUUCAACUUUCAAUUGAAACUUAACAGCUCAUACAUUAUUAAAGUAAAAAAAAAAGCUUCUUUAACACAAGCUGGUCCCAUUCUAAACUAGUCCCAUCUUAAAAAGUCCCAUUUUCAAAACUAGUAGGACCUUUGGCAUUAAGGUUAAAAUCUUAAAAUGCAGUAAUGUUAAUAUAUCUACACUUAAUCGCACACUGAAUAGUUACUUUUUAUUAAAAGUAUUGAAACCUUUACCCUCAAUUUAUUAAUGACUAAAGUUCUUACCUUUUUUAGAAAAAAAGUAAUACUGUCAUCGCUCCAAUUUAAAAAAGUUCUUUUCCAGAACUGACCAGAGUCGACCUGAAAAAAAAAAAUUUUUACUCAUUAAGGACUGCGAGGCUGACUUAAGUAUUAAAGAUCUAAUAGCCUAGAUUAGAAAAAAUAAAAAAUAAAGUUUACUGGCUAAAAUUAGUUUAAAGCCAUUGGUUAAAAACCAAAAUCACUGGAUAAAACCAAGCACCAUUAAGUUUAAAACAUUUAUAAGUCUAGAUUAAUAAAUAAUCACUGUUUAAAAAUCAUUUCACUGGUUAAAAAUGCAUUUAAGUUUAAUUAUUCAUAUUUAACAAAACAUUUAAGUUAACCAUUGAAGUCUAAAGACCCCUAUGUAGAUUAUUUUAGAUUUAAAGUAUUUAUUAAAACUAAUAAAAAAUGUAAGCAUUAAAUACCUAGUUAUACAGCAUUAAACAAAAUCUAAAUCUUAUUUAAGCUUGAGUAUAGCAUUUAAUAUAAAUAAAAUCAAAACUUUCCUAACAUUAUAUACGGAAAGAAAAUACGUGUCGGAAGUAUAUACUCUGUAUAAUAUCCAUUAACUAUAAACGUAAAAUCAAAGCUUAAUAUGAACCAAUACAAGUCUCGGAAACUAAUUAAAAUCGGUAAAAAUAAACUGCGCUUAUAACUACAGCAAAUUAAAUACGUACCAUAAUAUCGUGCAAAUAUUUUUCACGUAGUUUAACAUUACUUCAAAUCGACUUUAAUACCAUGUUUAAUUUUAUGGGGCAAAAUCUAAAGUAUCCAAGGUUAUCAAGGAGUUUUGAACACCUCACUUUGGUUUUCAAUUAUCAAUCCUUACAUGAAACCAUUGAAGUUAAAAUGAUCAAAAGUAAACCAACGGGAAAACAACCAAGAUACUAUACCUUCACCUGACUUGAUACCCUUGACAUCAAAAACUUCUUAAUUGACAAUUUAGAACUAGCUGCUUUAAUCUGAACGUUACUGUACAUCGGUCAUAAGAAGCUACGUAAAUGGAAUAGAUCUAUCUUACCGUUUCAGCAAAGUUAAAUUUAAAUUUCCGAUAAUAUCAAACAUCCCCACAGAGCAAAACCCCUCGGAAUAAAAACCAAAACCAUCACAAACCUACUUCAAAAUACUACUUAAUUGGCAUAUUUAACAUGCUACCCAUAACAAUAAAUCACUCAAAACCCUAACCAGUCACCUUCCACCUCUAUAGACUGAACACUUAAACACACACGAAACUACAGAGACCGAAAUUAAAAUGUUGGUGCCUCGUUCUCCCCAAAGUACCGAAGGGCCUCAGGCGACUGUGAAGUCUGCAAAAUAGUUACUCGAAACUGGAUUGGACCGGUUUUAAUUUCAGAAUUGUGGACUACAUACACCAUCUCUUCCACCCUAAGAAAAUAGGUGCUCGAUCAAGAAACUGUACUGGCCUUAUUGGAGAUAAGUCUGGUGUGAGUAGUUCGUUCAACGGGUUCUUGUCAAUUUAUAGAUUAUCUAAGGUUACUGAAUUGGCGUCAUAUCUAGGUUAUCGACGCUGUGUCAGUUUAGAAUUUAAUCCUGUGUAUGGCAGCUGUUAAACCCAAAGGCUAUUAUCUAGGACUUGGUGAGAAUUUUUUUGGGGGGAGGGUUAGAUAUUGUUUCUAAUUUUUCUUAAGGAAAACUUUCAUAGUUCAGUGUAAAACAUGUAUGAAUGAAAAGCCUACUUGAUUGUAACCAGGUUCACCAAUUUAAUUGUUCAAAUUAAAUUCUUUUCGUGGAUUUUUAAGUUUCAUUCUAGAAAUAAAGGCAAGUUGGUACUGGGCUUAAGGGUUAAAAAUUGGGUGGGUUAAACAUUUUAAAGUUUAACUUGGGAAAUUUUAAGUGAUAGACCACUCCUCAGUCUUAGAGGGAUGUUUGUACGGUUAUUCAAAUGUUUCGGCAGGUUUUUUAAGACGCAUUAACUAAGUCUCAGGCAAUUUUAUAGUUUUCUUAUAUAGCAUUUAGCGUUUUUGUCCCAAUUUCACGAAUUGUUUUGGUGAUUUUAACAAACAUUUAAAAGUACUUUUGCUUUUUUAAGAAUUCUUCUUUUUUACGAUCUCUGAAUCACUAAAUACUCUUACAUUUUUUUUCGAACUCGCUUUAAUAACUUUGAAUCUAAUUUCAAUGUAGUUUUCAAUAUAAACGACAUUAUUCAGGUAAUGCAGUGUGGUAAUGAGGGGAUUCUUAUUUGCCGUGAUAUGUUUUACCAGUAACACACUUCAUAAUUGUUACUUAGAGCUAAUAAGUCUAGACAAAAGGCUCUUCGUUUUGUGAGUUUCCGUUGUGGAAUUAAAACCUUGUCACUGUAAACUUAAUUUUCGUCACAUGGCAGUACGUCGUCACAUGGCGGCCGUACGUCACAUGACGGCAGUACGUAGUCACAUGGAGAUGAGUGUUUCAAAUAAAUAGUCAGUCACAUGAAGAAGACAGAACAUCACAAGAGUAUUUUUCUCUUGAAAAGUAAGUUUCCUUUUAGGCAUCUUUUCACACGUGGUUUAGAUGCACAUUCGUGCUAUAGGUAAACUUUCCAUUAGGGUAACUUAGAAAUUAGGGUUUCUCCUCUUUUGGAAGGUAGUUUCGUAAUUGAGUCAACUCCGGCCAUUUCUGGUGACUGUAGGGAAUACACACACUGACAGGUGGAGAGAGGCCGACGAAUUUCCAACGAAAAGUUAUUUGAUUUGCCUUUACGCUUUUGAUGUAUGUGCUAAAUAUUUAGCGUAAUUUGUACUCUAGUGAAGGAAAUAUGCGUUAGUAUAAUUGGUUAUUUAUUAGGCGUGACUUUUUAGGGUGUAUCAGCUUUUUCUAACCUUCCAAAAAUGUCUAAUACUAACUAACUUCUUUAAAAUUUGCCACAGGUGAAGCAGUCGUGCAUAUUCAGUUUUAUUGAAUAUAUGCAUAAGUUUUAGUAAAUGACAUAAUUGUUUGCAUAGCUUCUUUAAUAAAGAAAAGAAAAUUGGGUAGAGUGAAUGUAGAAAACCUCACCUUAGUGGAGCUUAUGUCUUCAGUGUUAAAAGCUACCAUAUUGAUGAUUUUCCCUAUGCUACCAUUUUAAAUUAGUAUACAUUUAUUAAUGCAAGUCUUAAAAUGAAUGGUAGGUGUAAAGGACAGGUAAGAACUGAGGAAUUGGUGAAUAUUGAAGUGCUGGCUAUAAUAUAGGGACUUUAUUACUAAACAGAAAGUGACUUCACUUAUCAGAAGGGUUACUUGAUCAGAGAGGGACUUUGUGUACUUGAUCAGAGAGAGUUUUUGUGUACUCUAUUAGUCCCAUGGUUUCCAAUACUCUUGGUCCCAUUGUUUCUGUUAACUAUUAGUCCAAUUGUUUCUAUUAACUAUUAGUCCAAUUGUUUCUAAUACUCUAUUAAUAUUAAUCAAUAUGGUAAUUUCCCGCCUCAUUAGAAAAACCUUUUAUGUUAACGAAUAUUCAUGGAGGUUUUUAACAUGCAAUUAAGGACAAAAGGACCAACUAGUCUUUAUGAGAAUUAAUGCAUUGAAGAUGUUAAUAGAUUCCCAUAAAGAUUACUUUGUCAUUUUCUAUCCAAAAAUGAGCAAAUGAAGUAGAAUGCUUUACAUUUCUUUCGUUUCAAAGCCUCAAAAGUUGGGAUUCGUAGCACGCAGUGAAUCCUUUAAAAUCUAGACUAAGUUAGAAUUUUCUCCUUUUGGAGAUACUAAAUUCAUUAAGAAUAGUUUUUCACAAGUGUCCUAUAUUCAGUAAGAAAAGUUACUGGUUCACAAAUGUCCUCAUGGAGGACUUCCUAGGGAGAGGUUUUCUUAGAGACAAAUCACUAAUUUCUUUCUUAAACAUAAGACAUUUUUCAUUAACACAGGCAAUUCACCUCCCUUAGUCUUCAUUGGGAAAAACAAAAUCAAUUUGCACCGAACUCAGUAUAAGCAUUGUCACACUUAAGUUUGAGUUAGUAUAUACCUUAAUAUAGCUUUGCAAAAGUUCAAUCAUUUACUUUGUACACAGGUAUGUGUACGAAGACCAACUAGACUUGUGAUAAACUAGUGAUUAAACAAAUAUCAGGAGAGUGCAGAUUAAAACCAUUUUUGGAUAGCUAAAAACAUUCUCUUGUGCUGUGCAUCUGGAACCGUUAAAAUGGAUCAUAUACAGUAUUUAAAAGCAUUUCACAUGGAAUGAUAAAGAUACAACUAACAUGUCAUAUAUAAUUGUUAAUGACCAAGAAUCAAAGAUGUUCAGAUAACUUGGAAAGAGUUCGUUAAGACAAAUGGUUUUUCCAAUCAAGCGGGAAAUUACAAAUAUUAAUAUUAUUAGACACAAUGGGACUAAUACUUAAUAGAAAAAAUGGGACUAAGAGUAUUGGAGAGUAUUGGAAACCAUUUGAAUGAUAAGAGUACGCAGAAUCCCCCUCUGGUCGAGUACGCCGAGUCCCAGUUAAUUAACCCUUCUGAUAAGUAAUAGCCCCCAUAUUAUAUAGCCUGCACUUUAAUAUUCACAAAUUCCUCAAUUCUUACUAUGAACAACCUGUCCUUUACACCUAACAUCUCAUUUUAAGACUUGCAUCAAUAAAUGUAAAAUUUAAAAUGGUAGCAUAGGGAAAAUCAUCAAUAUGGUAGCUUUUAACACUGAAGAAACAAGCUCACCUAAGGUGAGGUUUGCUACAUUCACUCUACCCAAUUUUUUUUUAUUAAAGAAGCUAUGCAAACAAUUGAGUCAUAUUUACUAAAACCUAUGCAUAUAUGUAAUAAAACCGAACAUGCUAUUUUAUUUGACGACUGCUUAUCCUGUGGCAAAUUUUAAGGAAGUUAGUGCUGCAUAUAUAGUGAAGAAAAUAUAGAAACUAUCAUAAUCUCCAUGCGUCGAAUCAUGUGACGUACUGUCAUGUGACGUACUGUUGUGUGACACUGUCAUGUGACGAAAAUUAAGUGUACAAUAACAAGGUUUUAAUUUCACAACUUUUUGAAAUUCAUUUUCUUCUGUAAAUAUAGAAAAUUGUAACUAUAAAAUUCAAAAUUGCUAGCCUUAUCUGUACAAUGAUACUAGUGGUUUUAGAAUCUGUCAUUUCAUUGUAAUUUCAUUAUAAAGUAAUAAAUUUUGUAAAGUAACAAAGAUUAAUCAAGGAGGAAGAGGAAAGUAUUCAAGGGCCUAGUAACUUCUGCUUUAUCUAGAAGCAAAAGCAAGUCUUA